GUUUUCGUAUGCUUAAUCUUGUGAAGUUUGCUAUUCAACUCAGAAGAGUAUAUUUUUUAUUUUGUAAAACAUAUGUAAGAGACUUCAAAACCAGUUGAUGCUUUAAGUAGUCAAAUUGUAUAAUUUGAUCAAUGCUUGCUAAUCAGCCUAUCAAGUAAACUUGUUUGCUGGCUUGCGAAUAGUCUUUAAUAUGUUGUGUGGCUAUGAGAAAGAGCUAAUGACCUGCAAAGUGCAACAACGCCAAGAAACGCCCUUGAGGGUAUCCAUGGAGUUCAUUGAUGUUGCUGGUGAAGUUUCUGGUCUCAACAUUAUUAUUAGUUGGAACUGCGACUGAAAAGGCAAGUGAUAUGGUUGCUUAUUCUAGUGAGCCGCAACAUGAGAAGAUAAUAAGGUGAUAGGCCCUAGGCAUAUAUCUUACAGUUAUAUGGCACAAAAGGAGCAGAUGACUAGAGAUUAAGAUCCUAUCAUCAGUUAUGGUGGCAUGUACGCACUGACAUUGGCUUAUAUGGAACCAAUAUUUUUGAUUGGUAAGAUACCAAUCUAUUGGUAAGAUACCAAUCUAUUACACGGUUCAUAGCCAAGGACAAUGUAAUCUACGCUUUCAGAUAAAUAAAUAGACAGCAAAUUGAAAUGUAUUUUUAGGUCGACAUUGAUAACGGAGGCUAGUGAGUUCAAAUGUCUAACGUAUUCCAAAAACAAAAAAAACAUGUUAAACUGAA